rnacentral:rRNA from 1 species
AACGAACGCUGGCGGCAUGCCUAACACAUGCAAGUCGAACGAGACCUUCGGGUCGAGUGGCGCACGGGUGCGUAACGCGUGGGAACCUGCCCUUAGGUUCGGAAUAACUCCCCGAAAGGGGUGCUAAUACCGGAUAAUGUCUUCGGACCAAAGAUUUAUCGCCUUUGGAUGGGGCCGCGUUGGGUUAGCUAGUUGUUAAGGUAUAAGCCUACCAAGGCGACGAUCCAUAGCUGGUCUGAGAGGCUGAUCAGCCACACUGGGACUGAGACACGGCCCAGACUCCUACGAGAAGCAGCAGUGGGGAAUAUUGGACAAUGGGCGAAAGCCUGAUCCAGCAAUGCCGCGUGAAUGAUGAAGGCCUUAGGGUUGUAAAGCUCUUUUACCCGGGAUGAUAAUGUCAGUACCGGGAGAAUAAGCUCCGGCUAACUCCGUG